UACAUAUAAACAACAGACUCUCUUCUUUAUUGCUUUGUGCUUUUAGUUUUAAAGUUAACAAUCUCUCAGCUUGACAUCCUAGCUUUCGUUUUUGUUUGCAUUUACAGAAUAUUUAUUUAUGGCCCACCUUGAGCUCUCUAUUAGGUUGUAUUUGCUAUUUGGUUUCAAGUAUUUUCCCAAGAACUUUUUCAGAUGGGGUAUAAGGCAGAUAUAUUUUUCCAAAUAAUUGUAUAUUCAGACUUUCUUUUACUUCAAAAGGCAGUCAACAUUUCUCAUAUACGGUCUUGGAUGCUGUUCCAGUGUCUUGUAAAGAAAUCCCUUCAAACCUCUAGAAUUAGGAUAUUUUGAUCUCUUAAUUUUCUCUACCUGCACCCCAAAUGUUGGCAGUUCUAAGCAUGGAGAAAGGAAGAAUGAUUUAUCCUUCCACGGGCCACCAGCAUAGAAGCAGGGAGUAUCUAUACAUCACCCCCCAAGACUCCUGGAUGAAGCCUCUUUCCCAUUCACCUGUCCUUUUGUCUCUCCCAUUCAGGAACAGGUAGGUCUCUGCCCCUAUGCAGCCAUUGCUUCACCUUUAGGAGGCCAGGGAGACCAAGCCUGCUCCUGCAGAGCUGAUGUUGACAGCUUCCCAGGGUUCUUCACACCUCUGCGUCUUAGUACUUCCCCGGAUCCUCCGAUGUACGUAGUCUUGGCUGCCAGGGUCUCCAGGGUUGGUGAUAUCUAGAUUAUUGUCCAGCCUAUGGAGAGGAGAGUUCAUGCCCAUUUCUCUGCAAGUCUUUUCACAGAACCUAAAACCUCACCAAAUCUCAUUCAGAGGCCAGGUCACUGCUGCCAUUUGACACAGGAGACGAGCCUGAUUGUCUCCCAUGAAUAAAGCUUUGUGGGUGCUGUUUAAAACUAUGGGUCUCUUUUGUCUUCAGCAGAAACGGUUUUUCAUUGUUUUCGUAUACUUCUAAGACGUUAAAAAUACUUGAAUAUUUACACUAAUUUUCAAACUUCUUUAGGUUUUGUAUUAGCACUCUCCACAAAAAUAACAUAUGUAUAUAGUAUAUAUAACAUUAUAUAUCUUAGAUGAAACUAUAUAGAUAGAACAAAAAAUGUGUUCUAGACUAAAUUUGUCCUCUGAACAAAUUUUCCACCAGCUCUAGUCAUUGCUGCAUUAGGGAUUCUUGUCAUCUAAGGACUGGGUUUUACUACAUGAAGAUGCUCCUGUUGACAUAAACUGCUCAAUGCAAACGUUUACCUGCAUGUCAACGCGCAGCCUACCCAACUCAAACAACUCUUCAUGGCCACGAGGUUACAACAGACACUUUGGCCGGGGACCCACUUAUUUUCUGAGAUUGUUUCACUAUGGUCCUGGGGCAGCGAGCUCCCGUGGGGUGAAAGGCGCCCUCUGCAGUACCGGAUGCGGCAGCGGCUCAGAAGGGCUGUGCAGGGGAUCGCUGGUUAAUUGAUCAGAGCCAGUUUUCUUUAUCAAUGCUGGGAACGCGGGGGUGAGGUGAGUCAGUCCCAGCUUGUACUCUGGUUUCUGAGCUGUGGAAUCCAACAGGAAGAUCCCUUUCCCACCAGCUAAGCACAGACCUGAGAUUUCCCCUGCUUGACUUCCAGCCGGGUCUUCACCGUGCUGUGCCAGCUGCCUCAGGCUGUGGUCCUUGUUAUUUAUUUGUUUUUGUUUUUUUUUCAUCAGCUUGGUUCUUUUCUAUGAAAUGUUUUUGCUCAUUGUUGAAAACUUAAAGGCAAAAACCAAACCCAUCUUCCAGUUGUGGGAUAAAGCAUCUUCAUCGUCUGAUUCCAUUAUUUCUCAAGUGUGCUACGCGAUUGUGUUCCUGUUAGCUUUUACUUUCCUGAACAGGAUCAUGUUCUAAAGAUGAGAAGCCACGCUAUUACCAGCAGGUUGGAAGAUGAAUAAAGGCACCGUCGAGGCCUCUGAUGGACUAAACCUGCAUGUUCAGCACCCAAAUACAAAACGAGAGAAAAAGUCGACACCUGCUUUCCUUCUGCCAUCGUCGCUGGGAAGUGUCCUCUUGUCCAUCUCCUGUCCAGAGGCGCCUUCCUGCUGUGCCCCCCGGAAUAUGGCUCUUUCUGAUUUUACCAGCCCUUUUCACAUCACUGCACCCAGGGGAAACGUCCUCUCCCCAGCCUCCUAAAGUGUGGCCAUGCUAUCUCCUUCCUGAGACACUUUCCUCUGGAGAUUGCCCUGCUGUGAUAGCCUAGUCAUUGCCAUCCCGGACACUCAUGGUACCCUGUACCCGAACCAAAUCAGAGCACUUUGACACAAGGCAGCCUCCAGGCAGGGGUCACCCUGGGAUUGUAAGAUCCAUGUCACUCCAACAGAGCCUCUUCCUUCCCUCUCACUGGUUUCUGCCAACAGAGGGCGGCCAGGCACCACGCCCAUAUGCCUUGAAUCUGAGCUAACCACCAUGUAGGAUCUAAGAAAAAUAUGCUUACCAGAUGAUGUUGGCCAGGCGCAGUGGCUCACGCCUGUAGUCCCAGCAUUUUGGGAGGCCAAAGC
rnacentral:lncRNA from 1 species